AACGAACGCUGGCGGCAGGCUUAACACAUGCAAGUCGAGCGCCCCGCAAGGGGAGCGGCAGACGGGUGAGUAACGCGUGGGAAUCUACCCAUCUCUACGGAAUAACGCAUGGAAACGUGUGCUAAUACCGUAUACGUCCUUCGGGAGAAAGAUUUAUCGGAGAUGGAUGAGCCCGCGUUGGAUUAGCUAGUUGGUGGGGUAAAGGCCUACCAAGGCGACGAUCCAUAGCUGGUCUGAGAGGAUGAUCAGCCACACUGGGACUGAGACACGGCCCAGACUCCGACGGGGGGAAGCAGUGGGGAAUAUUGGACAAUGGGCGCAAGCCUGAUCCAGCCAUGCCGCGUGAGUGAUGAAGGCCCUAGGGUUGUAAAGCUCUUUCACCGGUGGAGAUAAUGACGGUAACCGGAGAAGAAGCCCCGGCUAACUUCGUGCCAGCAGCCGCCGUAAAAC
rnacentral:rRNA from 1 species